GGGAGGAGGGGGCGGAGUCCCUAAUUACUAGCAGGGGUCUAAUGUAAACAGGCACUCUGGGGACAUUCCUUUCUCUCUCAACUUUGGCUGGGGGAUGGGGUGUCUUCAUUCUGCUCUGAAGAGAAGCUCUUGAUCCCUGAAUGGAGGCAAUCCUGAGACUUUCGCCAGGAACCUGGGGAAAUUGUGGAAGGGCUCUCUGCUCUCUCCAAGGAUUCUGAGCCUUAAUCACUCAGCUAGCAUCUUGUUUAGGUGGGAAGUGCUUCUCCCCUGACCAGAGCAGCCACCUGGCUUGGGGUCUCAAGCUUCUGGACUCACCUAGUGCUGAGAACGUGCAGGCAGCAAGCACAGCAGAUAAAGCUGGGACUCUGCUCUCUGCACACACCAAGAAAAAAAAGAAGAAAACUAUUUAAAGGAGGAGAAACAUCAUCCUGUACUACACCUCAGUUUAUUUUAAUGUAUAUGGCAAAUUUUAAAGAAGUUUCAGUAAAGAUGUACUUUUUUCUGCAGGGAAUCAUGACCAUGACUAACAGCAAAUUUGAAGUCUCCAAAAAGUUGAUGAUGGUGCCCCACAAUGAGAUUUCAUCAGGAUGAUGAUAAUAUCUCUAAGCUGAUAAACAUCAUGCAAAGAUCACCUUUGGACUACAAACUGAUCAGGACAAUUUCAAGAUGGCUAGCUGAGAUGAUCCAGCCUCACAGAUGACUUGAGCAAAUACUAGAGACAAGCCCUGCACUUUUGCAUUAUGCAGAGACUGGACAACAAAUGAUACAGCUACCUCUCCCAGGACUUGAGAAUUAACUCAAAAUUUUCUUUUCAGGAUCCCCUAAGGAUGCCUUCACCUCCAAACAGCAGAAAAUAAUUUUAAGAACAUGAUGCCCACAUUUCCAAGAGAUGGAGUGGGUGGGUUUUCAUCUUUCAGUGGGUUUUGGACAUGUCUGCUCCCGGCAGCACCAAUCUUCUUCAGAGAAAACGAUGGGCACUGAAGAAACUCCACAUGGAGUUAACUUUCAUUGUGGCAAAAGUUAGCUUCUGUGCAAGAUAGUGCCCUCAUAUUGACUGCUGACAGUAUGACAAGCAGGACACAAAACAAAGGACUGCCGAUCUUUGCCAAGACAAGUGUGGUUGCAGCUUAGGCAACAGGCAUCCUCUGAGGAAUCUUAUGCAAAUGUAAUCAUGCACCAAGCAGAAUUUGAGAAUUUUUUUUUCUCCUGUUGGAGGAAGUAUAUCAAUGGCAGUGGACUCAGGCAUCUCAGAAGCCCAAGUCAGGACCAGUGUCUCUCUCUUCCUGGUGCCUUUGGAUCCAUAUAUAGAAGUCUGAGCUACCAUGUCUGCCUGCAUGCCACUGUGCUCCCUCCAAUGGAUUAAACUGAGAAGACAGGAAGACAAGAACCAGAAUCCACCUGGGCAAGAAAAGGCUGAGAGAGAGACCUUUGGACUUGCUUUCUGUGUUAGAGAACACAUUGAAUUUAUGCUUAUCUAGGUAUGAAAUUCACCCAGUUCCUACAGAUUUUCAGGGAAAAUCCUGCAGACAUAAUUCUAAGACGGAAAAAUCUCAAAAGCCAAACCAUGUUUAUUGUCCAUGGACCAGCAAUACUCAAUAAAUUCAUGAAACAAUAAUUGUAAAAUGCAAUAUAUUUGAAGUUUAAUCAAAAAGAUAAAAGUAUGAAAAUGGUGAGGCCUUUUUCUAUGUAUGUGCGUGUAUGUGCACACAUGGCUGAUAGUGCACAUGUGUGCAUACAAAUGAUUGAAUACAAACCUAAGUAAAAUAAGUAAGCAAAACUGGAAGAAAGAGGUCAGAGCAAAGGUGGGGGUCUUAACUUGCUUCUGUUGGUCCUGAAGAGGGAAGGGCCUCAUAAACUAAUAAAUGGUGACAGGCAUUAAGUGCUGAGACAGAUAAGAAGACAGUCACAUUACCCCAGAGUCCCAGAAAGAAACUCAGCAUGGCUCACAAUUUGUUGCAGGUGAGUCCCAUGUUACACUUCUGACCUUCAGAACUAGGAAAUAAAAAAUCUGUUUUGUUUUAAGCUACCAAAAUUCUUGCAGUGUGUUACAAUAGCCACAGAGAAUGAACACAAUGUCACAGAAAACAUCAAUAAUGGAGGCUUGCAAAUCCAGCCCAAAUGCCAGGGGUAGAUAUGUUGUUAACAUAAGACAGAGGAGUUUGUACCUUCAGAACUAGUUACAGAUAGAAGUUUCUUAGAGUAAGAAAGGCACUAACAGAGGGAGAAAUAUAGUGAAGGGAACUAUAUAAUAGUAAAGUCAAUAUUUAAAAUAUUAUUUAAUAGAAAAGCAGAUAGCAAUGGUGGCUUAUGCCUGAAAUCCCAUCACUAGCUAAGGCACAUGGUUACCAUGAGUUUGAAGCCAGCUUGGACUGAAUAGUGUGUCAAAAAGCUCUGUGUGUGAGAGAGGCUGGAGAUUAUUUGAUGACACUUGUCUGUAAUGUAAUCCAAGGCACUUUCUUUCCUUUAUGAACAGAGAAUUCAAUGCCUUUGAAAAUGGUAUAUGUGUUCUAAAACUAAUGAUGUACUUAAAUUGUCAUUGUUUUUUAUCAUUUUUGCUCUAGAGAAGAUUAAUGCUCUGCUUUAUAAUAUCUACAUCUGUGUCUUUCAUCUGUCAUCUAUCUGUCUUCCAUCUACCUAAUAUCUACUGUCCAUUCAAAAGACUCCCUUCAUAUAAGGGAAUAAGAAAUAGUUUAAUUUGUUCUUGAAUACAUUUGAGUGACAAGGGCCUGGGAACACAGGCUCCAAGUUUCAACAAACAACCUGGUCCCAUGAGGAAUAGGUUAUACAAAGUUUCAUAUUUACAGAACCAAAUAAUAAUCAACGAGGCAAUUUUCAAAUACAUUGCAUUAUUAGGAACAUCAUGAAGGCAUAUUACAACAAAUUGGGACAAUUUAUGCAAUAGAUUCCAAAUUUAUCUUUUAAUAUGCUUAGAUUUCUGCUGGAAUAAGCUAGUGGCCUGCUAAGGUAAUAUACUCCUAAAGGUUUUACCUGUUGUCACAAGAUCUUUGGUCAGACACAGAGGUGGGCAAUUAAUGACACAAUUAUAAGAACAAAGAUGUCUCAAGAUAAUUCAGCUGUGUAUCUGCAGCAUUCUAACUUUAAAAUCAUAAAGUUUUAAUUAAGCUGGGCAUUGUAGUACAUGACUUUAAUCCUACACUUGGGAGGUAGAGGCAAGUAGAGCUCUGUGGCUUAGAGGUCAACUCAGACUAUAUAGUGAGGCUCUAUCUUACAACACACACUCACAUGUAUAUACACACACACACACACACACACACACACACACACACACACACAUACACACAAACACACAUCAAAGCAAGUAAACAGUGCUCUUAUCAGUCAACUGAACUUUUAGAAUCUUUAAUAAGCUGUUAGUUUUGCUUUUUCUGGGAACUUUGGCUUAAUAUCAAGGUAUUAAAAUAGAGGUACAAAUAUGGACAAGAACCUGAUUUAAAAUAUACUUGCAAAGGAAAAAGUCGCCGUUUAAUUAUUGUGUGAGUUAAGGCAAGUGUACCAAAAAUAAUUAUAUAUUGAUAGAUAACAACAGCUUCUAGGGAUGUCAAACAAGGGCCACUCAUGUCCUCCUAUAAUAAAGGGGAGGAAGAGAAGCCUUCUUUAAGAGGCAGGGGCAGAGAAAGUUCUUAGGACACACAGCUUCAAAACAAAGACAUGAGGCAAUUAAGGACAGGUGGGGUCAGGGAAGGUCUUAGCAAACUGUAGAGUAUGUCUCAGCCAUUUGACACUGACCAGAUCAUUUUCUGUCUCUAAGUAUCAAUUUCUGUUUUCUAAAACAAAUGAGUUGCUCACAGUAAAAACUAAGGUCAAUCAAAUGACAUAAUCAUGAUUUAGUCAUAAAAUACAAAUAACAAGAAGGUAUAAAGUAUGUGUUUAUGUUGGCUUUUGCUCAUUUAAGCAAUUGAAUAAUUUACAGAUGUAAUUAUCAAGUAGGGAAAAGAGAACAAUGCAAAAAAACAAAAAUUGAGUGUUUUUUGUUAGUUUGUUUGCUUGUUUGUUAUUUUAUUUUUUCAAUACCCCACAGCCUGGGCAGGCUGAAGUAAGUCACAGGCCCACCCAGAAGGAGCCAUAAUGAUGACAGGUAUGUGCUGGAGAAAUGGGAGAGAAGGAGAAGUGGAGUGGUUUGUGUACUGUGGAAAGAAGUGAUCCUGAAGACUUGACAGCAAUACGGGGCAGGCUGAUAUGCUGCCACCUAGAGCCAUGUGAUAUCUGGGCCUCUGCUGAUGCCUAAGGCCAUGUCUGGGUCUGUGGCCUGUGUUACCAAUGGGGGCCAUGGGAGAACUGGCCAGUGUCAUAGGCACAGGAGAGCUGUCCCCAACCCUUGAUGACCCUUGCCAGUCAUAGCAACAGUUGAGCUGACUCCAACCCUUCACCAUGCCAGAGGGAGAAUUGACCCUGACCCUCCCCUGAGGGUGUGGUCCAGGUAGAGUGUUGAACUGACCAACUCAGCUACCACCCAGGCCCACAUCCAAACUUCUGAGUUAGCCCACCAUCUACUCCAUCUGUGACCUGCUGGAGCAUGUGAAGGGACCCGUCCUGUGGAACCAUAGUCAGAGGAUCUUCAUGAAUGGGGCAACGAAUAUCCAAGAAAAGUUUUGGUGAGGGUCCAGUAUUGAUGUUGUACCAGAAGCCAGAGGCCUUGCCAGACCAACAACUCAUUGCAAUGACUAUUUGCAAGUAGAGCUAUGUGAGCAAAAGGAUAUACUGUGUGACACAAUGCAGCUCCCAAGACCACUAUGAGAAAUGAGUAUGUGAUGGAGAGGAGAGAAAGAUGGAGGAGCAAAGUGGUCUUUUUCU